rnacentral:lncRNA from 1 species
CCUCCAUUGCAAGGAUCUGCACCUGCACCUCCCCUACCGCCACCUCCACCUCCUUUGAGUAGUGCUCCUCCUCCGCCACCUCCACCUCCCUUUGGUAGAGCUCCACCUCCGCCACUUCCACCUCCCUUUGGUAGAGCUCCACCUCCGCCACCUCCACCUCCCUUUGGUAGAGCUCCACCUCCAUUGGGUGGAGGCCCACCUCCACCACCACCUCCUCCAAUGUCUAGAGCCCCACCUCCACCUCCUCCUCCAAUGCAUGGAGCACCUCCACCUCCUGGUGGUCGAGGCCCCCCUCCUCCACCUCCUCCAAUGUAUGGAGCACCACCUCCUCCUCCACCUCCUGGUGGUCGAGGCCCCCCUCCUCCGCCUCCUCCAAUUCGUGGAGCACCACCUCCUCCUCCACCUCCUGGUGGUCGAGGCCCCCCUCCUCCACCUCCUCCAAUGCAUGGAGCACCACCUCCUCCUCCAUCUCCUGGUGGUCGAGGGCCCCCUCCUCCGCCUCCU